rnacentral:rRNA from 1 species
GACGAACGCUGGCGGCGUGCCUAAUACAUGCAAGUCGAGCGAGCGGAACUAACAGAUUUACUUCGGUAAUGACGUUAGGAAAGCGAGCGGCGGAUGGGUGAGUAACACGUGGGGAACCUGCCCCAUAGUCUGGGAUACCACUUGGAAACAGGGGCUAAUACCGGAUAAGAAAGCAGAUCGCAUGAUCAGCUUUUAAAAGGCGGCGUAAGCUGUCGCUAUGGGAUGGCCCCGCGGUGCAUUAGCUAGUUGGUAAGGUAAAGGCUUACCAAGGCGAUGAUGCAUAGCCGAGUUGAGAGACUGAUCGGCCACAUUGGGACUGAGACACGGCCCAAACUCCUACGGGAGGCAGCAGUAGGGAAUCCUCCACAAUGGACGCAAGUCUGAUGGAGCAACGCCGCGUGAGUGAAGAAGGUUUUCGGAUCGUAAAGCUCUGUUGUUGGUGAAGAAGGAUAGAGGUAGUAACUGGCCUUUAUUUGACGGUAAUCAACCAGAAAGUCACGGCUAACUACGUG